CUAUCCUACAGAAUCUGGUAGUUUUAUUGCCAUAACAUGCCCAAGUGCCUUAUUAUGAGUCUCGCGUAGGAAAGAUGCUCUUCCCACCAGUCAGCAGAGGAGGACGUCUUUUCUAUGAAUCAUGAACAAAUGGGCUCAUGCGCCAGCCCAAGGCCAACCUUUCAUUGAGUCCUGGAUCCCUUCUCUUGCUGACGGAUGGACAAGACUCACCUGCUCUCUGUAAAAACUAAACACACCUCUUCUUUGACUAUUGUUCAUCAUCUAUCGCUUCUUAUCUUUGCCCAGUUUUUUUUUUUUUUUUUUUUUUAGCAAAACCUUUUGGAAGGAGUGUCUGCACCGUCCCCACCUCCCCUCAUCCAGCUCUCAGAGGUUUGAUGCCACUCAAGUCUGACUCGUUCCCACCUCUCCACCAACGAGAUCAUAAUGCACCCUGCAUGACCUCACUCAGCCCUUCUUCUGUCCAUUGUUGAUCUGACCUGGCCCCUAGUUGUGUGGCCAUGGGCAGCUGCCUUAGGGGUCCCUGCCAGAGGGAUAGGCAGCAGACCACCUGAGAAGAGUGAAGGAACCCAUUGCAAGGUCACCCGCUUUGUGGAUGUGCACUGAAAAACCAGCCACUGCCAGACACUACCUGUUCAUCCCAUAAUCCCAGGAAUUCACUCACGAUGAGGCUCCUGUUUCUCCUCCUCCUCCUCCUUGUUUGUCUCUCACAGAUGGUGUCAGGCUAUGAAAAAAGAAAUAAAAACAAGGAAUGUGAAAACAUGGGGGGCGCCUGCAAGCACCAGAAAACCCACGGGUGCUCCAUCCUGCCUGCGGAGUGCAAGAGUCGAAACAAGCACUGCUGUAGAGUCUAACCCCCACGCCACAGUGCCUGCUGAGCCCUGCAGCUCACCCUGCUGACUCCACAAAAUAAAGGCGUACCACUC